rnacentral:rRNA from 1 species
GUACGAUGAUCUUGGGGUUUCGGCUCUGGGGGAUUAGUGGCGAACGGGUGAGUAACACGUGAGUAACCUGCCUCACGCUUUGGGAUAACUGCUUGAAAGGGCAGCUAAUACCGGGUAUGACCUUCUGGCGCAUGCUGGGGGGUGGAAAGCCUUCGGGUGGCGUGGGAUGGGCUCGCGGCCUAUCAGCUUGUUGGUGGGGUGAUGGCCUACCAAGGCGGUGACGGGUAGCCGGCCUGAGAGGGCGACCGGCCACACUGGGACUGAGAUACGGCCCAGACUCCUACGGGAGGCAGCAGUGGGGAAUAUUGCGCAAUGGGCGAAAGCCUGACGCAGCGACGCCGCGUGGGGGAUGGAGGCCUUCGGGUUGUGAACCCCUUUCGCUGGGGGAGAAGCUCAUGCUUUUUGGUGUGGGUGACGGUACCUGGUAAAGAAGCGCCGGCUAACUACGUGCCAGCAGCCGCGGUAAUACGUAGGGCGCGAGCGUUGUCCGGAAUUAUUGGGCGUAAAGGGCUCGUAGGCGGCUGGUCGCGUCUGUCGUGAAAUCCUCUGGCUCAACUGGGGGCUUGCGGUGGGUACGGGCUGGCUUGAGUGCGGUAGGGGAGAUUGGAACUCCUGGUGUAGCGGUGGAAUGCGCAGAUAUCAGGAAGAACACCGAUGGCGAAGGCAGGUCUCUGGGCCGUCACUGACGCUGAUGAGCGAGAGCGUGGGGGAGCGAACAGGAUUAGAUACCCUGGUAGUCCACGCCGUAAACGUUGGGCACUAUGUGUGGGGUUUGUCUUAUGGUGGU